rnacentral:lncRNA from 1 species
AGAUGAUUUUCAGGUAAUUUCCUGUAUUUGAUACAUUCUGUUUAUAUAAAAAAUUCUUUAAGAGAUAAAUUAAAUACUAGGACACCACUCAUCCUGGAUUAAAGUUUAUUUGUGUCACUAGGAUGAAUUGCUUAGAAUUCUGCAGCUUGCUUAUAAUCACUGACCAUUCCUAUGCGUGAAAGUCUCACCACCUCAUCUUCAACCAGAAAAGAUCUUCCAUACUUGAAGGUCUUUGAGCCUGCACUUUCAAUUAAGAGCAUGCAUUUACUUCCUCAGGAAAUUGAUUCACAUGCUAGAGUCACUCAUAUUCCUAAAGGCUACAAGUUCUGCCUUGGAAGACACACAAAAUCUCAAGCAGAAAAACAAAACAAAACAACAACAACAAAAAAAAAAAUAAAAACUCUCUUGAGUGUGUCUCAGCUCAAGGAAUAUUUCCAGAAUCUAACUUGGAUGUCUACAAGCCACAGGUAGACCCGCCCCAUGUCAUGGCCAUAUAUGGUUGCUAACUCCUAGGAUUAAGCAUAAAGAAAAAUCAAUAUUCAUUUUCAGCUAACUUCUUUUCUUUCUUCACUUCCAAGUGAAGAGAGUAGUCUUAAGUAGUCUGGACUGUUGUUUUACUCUGUCCCCAAAACACACACACACACACACACACACACACACACACACACACACACACACACAAUCACCUUGUUUUAUUCUGACAUUUUCAUUUGUGACAUUUGUGCUGCAGAAUACAUUUUAAUAAUGAAACAAUUUAAAAACUUUUCUUUGAAAAUCAAUUGUCUUUUUUUUUUUAGUUUUUUUAAAAUUAGGUAUUUUCUUCAUUUACAUUUCCAGUGCUAUCCCAAAAGUCCCCCAUACCCUCCCACCCCACUCCCCUACCCAUCCACUCCCACUUCUUGGCCCUGGCAUUCCCCUAUGCUGAGGCAUAUAAAGUUUGCAAUACUUUGGGCCUCUCUUUCCAAUGAUGGCUGACUAAGCCAUCUUUUGAUACAUAUGCAGCUAGAGACACGAGCUCCGGGGGGGGGGGGGGGCGGGGGGGAUACUGGUUAGUUCAUAUUGUUGUUCCGCCUAUAGGGAACAAAACACCCAUGGAAGGAGUUACAGAGACAAAGUUUGGAGCUGAAACGAAAGGACGGACCAUCUAGAGACUGCCAUAUCCGGGGAUCCAUCCUAUAAUCAGCCUCCAAACGCUGACACCAUUGCAUACACUAGCAAGAUUUUGCUGAAAGGAC